CGCCUGGCGGCAGGCCUAACACAUGCAAGUCGAGCGGUAACAGGAGAAAGCUUGCUUUCUUGCUGACGAGCGGCGGACGGGUGAGUAAUGUAUGGGGAUCUGCCCGAUAGAGGGGGAUAACUACUGGAAACGGUGGCUAAUACCGCAUAAUGUCUACGGACCAAAGCAGGGGCUCUUCGGACCUUGCACUAUCGGAUGAACCCAUAUGGGAUUAGCUAGUAGGUGGGGUAAAGGCUCACCUAGGCGACGAUCUCUAGCUGGUCUGAGAGGAUGAUCAGCCACACUGGGACUGAGACACGGCCCAGACUCCUACGGGAGGC
rnacentral:rRNA from 1 species